rnacentral:rRNA from 1 species
UACGUAGGUGACAAGCGUUGUCCGGAUUUACUGGGCGUAAAGAGCGCGCAGGCGGUCGUUCAAGUCGAGUGUGAAAGCCCCCGGCUCAACUGGGGAGGGUCACUCGAUACUGAUCGACUUGAAGGCAGGAGAGGGAAGCGGAAUUCCCGGUGUAGUGGUGAAAUGCGUAGAUAUCGGGAGGAACACCAGUGGCGAAGGCGGCUUCCUGGCCUGCUCUUGACGCUGAGGCGCGAAAGCUAGGGGAGCGAACAGG